rnacentral:lncRNA from 1 species
ACCAAGGGCAGGAUCAGGAAAAACAAGGAAAGCAGAUGUGGGUCCUGGACCAACUGCCCUCCUAAGGUCUGUCCUCAGCAGGGACCUUCCCCUGACCUGUGAUUACUGGGGUCAGAUCCCCAUCACUACAAUCAUCAAGCCCGGGAGAUCUACAGGAGAUCGAGCAGGCUCCCCAUGGCCCCUGGUACCCGCGCGCUGCAGCGUCUCCUUCCCGUUCUCCAGGUGUCUGCGGAGCCACUCCAUGCAGGUGCCCUCCAGGCAUACUGCUCAUACCCGCGGAGGAGACGCCCGUCGGGCCCCAGGUCGCAGCCAAACAUUCCCUGGAGGAUGUGAUACCCUGGCCCAGUUCCC